rfam:Hordeum vulgare subsp. vulgare, WGS project CAJW01000000 data, contig: morex_contig_17053
GUAAUACUCCCUUCAUCCGGAAAUACUUGUCCUAGAAAUAGAUGUAUCUAGACUUAUUUUAGUUAUAGAUACAUCUAUUUUCUAUAUUUUUAGGACAAGUAUUUUCGGACGGAGGGAGUAGUAA